rnacentral:misc_RNA from 1 species
AGGAAUCUCAAGCAUCAACAUCAAGGCGUCAGUGCAUUACUUGUUUAUGUUCAACUAUAGUGCUGAGUAGUAGUGCUGGAACCUCCAUCUCCAUCCCAAAGGCAAUUGCUUUAGAUGGAAAAGAAAGAGCUCUUUGCCGUAAUUGUGGAGGCAGCGGUGCUGUACUUUGCGAUAUGUGUGGGGGUACCGGAAAAUGGAAAGCUCUCAACAGAAAACGUGCUAAAGAUGUUUAUGAGUUUACGGAAUGCCCUAAUUGCUAUGGUACGUAUAUUUCCUCUGAUGUGUGGUGCUAAUAACUUCUAUUUUAGCAGUAAACUUCUAUUUUAGCACUAAAAAACACAUGCAUGCUGGUUUCUUGUUAAUGUUUUUUACUUGUUUGACCAUGCAGUACUUCUUGAUGAAAAUUUUUCAAUUUUUGCUUUUAAUGGCAUUCCAUGGCAUGCAUGGAUCAUUUAUUAAGAGAAAUUCAGUACAGAGAUGGAGCCAAUACAGUAUAACAUAGUAGUCAUUUGAAUAUUAGUGUGAUGCCCACACAUUGUGCAGGUCUAACAUACUUUUUCAUGUUAUAUUUAUAACUUAUAAUUAUAAAUAUCACUUGAAAUUUUAUAAAAUUUAUCAUGAGAUAAUCACCAUCAAAGUAAUAAAGUAUAAAAACAAAAAAAAAAAUAGUAUUUAUAAUUUGAAAAUAAAUAUAAAUGUGUCAUAAUCCAAUGAAUGAUGAAUGUCAUAGAAUUAUGAAUGGAUAGUAUGUUGUUGUAUUUGUUAAAAAUAUUUAAAAAAAUGGUGCUAUAAAAUAUUCAUGAUGAAACAUAUUUAAUUAAAAGAAACGUAGAAGUAAGAAGAGGGGUCUUUGUUGGUAAAUUAAUAAUUAAUAUUUUCACAUUUAUCACUAAUUAACCAUUUAUCAAUAAAUUAUUUAUUAAUAAAUUAGUAAUUAACUUGUGCUCAUUUACUACAAUCAACAUAAGGUUGCCACAUAAGCAAUUGUAUCUUUCAAUAUAAUAUCCAAUAAAAAUUGGAAUAUCUUUUCUUUCAACAUAAGGUUCCCAUCUGUUGCACAAUAUACGUCUAUCUUUUACUUGUAAUGAUGGGGUUGUACCUCUUUGAGAGCAUUGUGUGCAAGCUGCAUUAUAUUGCUACAAUAUAGAAACAUAAUUAUGUUAAUCAAAUACGACUUCUUUAAAUGUAUAAACCUUGAAUAUUCUGGAAUUAUAAACCCUUUGAACUCUAAAAAUAAAAUGUGAGUUCUUUACAUGGGCAAAGGGUUUUCUUUUUCCACUUUAAGAAAUUAUGAAGGAGAUGUCAGUGUAUUGUUAGCAGCAUCACUUGGAGAAUAUGCAAUAAAGAAUUUUGAUUAUUUAAAACUGAUUACUGUUGGUUGUUUGAUAUGCUGAUAUUGAAAACAAAACCAGGUUUCAGCAGAGAUUGCAAAUUUUUGUUGGUAUCCAGAUAAAUGCUUAUAAUAGGAAAAUUAAUGGAAAGAGAAGAAUAUCUUGAUUAUCCAGAAAACAAAAGAGAGAGAACUCUCUGUUGCUAUUGGCUUUUGACUGAUAUCUGAAAAUACAAUUUCUGCAGCUGCUAGUUAAUAUUGUUGAAGAUUUAGAGCUUCUAUUGCAGGGAUGCAUGCAAUUUAUCAAUUUCAUGUCCUGAGUUACUGUGAAUUGCAAACUAUCCUUAUAUAGGAAUUAGGAUUUGUCUACUUGCCUGAGUUAAAUUUUUAUUGCAUCAUUCUCUUUAUUUGUAAAACUUCUUGGGAGAUCUCAUUGUAAUUGUCCUGUCAUUCUGUUUACUUGAAUUUUCCUUUUAACGAUCACAUUGUUGAUUUUUCAAUUCCAGUGAGAAGUGUUUUCUAGUUCUUUGUGAGCAGGUCGGGGGAAACUUGUGUGUCCUGUGUGCUUAGGUACUGGUUUGCCAAAUAACAAAGGUCUUCUAAGGAGGCCUGAUGCACGGCAAUUACUUGAUAAGAUGUAUAAUGGUCGGCUAUUGCCUGGAUCUUGAGCCAAUCCGCCAAGUAGAAAAUUUUGGAAACAUUGCAAUUAUGGAAUUUUGAUCGUAAGACUAUGAAAAGAUGAAUGCAGCCAGCAGCACUAUCAGUGUAUAUAGUCUGAACGUUAUCUUUAUGUCUAGCACACAUUGGAAGCUUUUCUUCUUUAGACUAGCCCUUGAAAAAACCUAGCUUUGAUUUUGAAUAUGUAUGCUAUUUCAUUAAAAGUCGGCCCAAUCAGAGGACAGUGAACCAUCUUCUUUAUGUUCACUGUAGUGUAUAACAUUAAUUCAUUGAGCUAUAAGAGAACCUAAUGGUGCAGUCUUGUGUUGGUUGAUGGUUCAUGUCUGUACUUAGGUAUCAGAUUGAAAUUUAGUAGUUUUCAAAUGUAAUUUUAGACAAAGUUGUAGGAUACAUUUGUUUCUGAAAUGAAGUGCUCAUGCUGUAUUUGACAUUAACCAAAUAGCAUUUGGUUUGAUGAGACAAUAUUUUUGUCUUUUCCAUGCGAUGUAGAAA